rnacentral:rRNA from 11 species
GAGAGGAUGAUCAGCCACACUGGGACUGAGACACGGCCCAGACUCCUCCGGGAGGCAGCAGUGAGGAAUUUUCCGCAAUGGGCGAAAGCCUGACGGAGCAAUACCGCGUGAGGGAUGAAGUAUCUUGGUAUGUAAACCUCUUUUCUCAAGAAAGAAGUUCUGACGGUACUUGAGGAAUAAGCAUCGGCUAACUCCGUGCCAGCAGCCGCGGUAAUACGGAGGAUGCAAGUGUUAUCCGGAAUCA